CGCUCAGGGCGCCAUUUUGGCCGCCUGCCGCCUCAGGGCAGGGGGACGUUGUGACACCGCCCCCUUCCCCGCGGCGGUGGAGGCGGCGAGAGAGCAGCGGCCACCGCCUGCGCCGCGGGAAGGCCGCCGUAAUGUGGAUGAAAGAGCAGGGUAGAGAUGCAAGUAGCAUUUCCCUUCCAAAAGGGGCACCAGCACCUCGGAUCAUCGCAGCAGUUCUUCCUAAAUCAGACGCUCUUGUAUCUUCAUAGUGUGUCUGCAGAUCAAGUAUCUCCUCCUUCGAUUCCUUUUUUUUGCCAUUCUCCUCUGCCCUCCCCACGCUAUUCACUAGAACAGGCGUAGCACAGUGAGACCAUACCUGACCCACCCACAAGACUGCUCUUGGAGUCAGAUUCCUGCCAGUGCUGUGAGAUUCCACAUAACAAAACCAGAAAAAGUGGACUGCACAGAAUCAUUUGAGCCUUGAAAUUUUAUUAUCUUGUUUGCAUCAACCAGUUAUUCCUUUCAGCACCAAUAAAAGACAAAACCCCCUCCCUAUUGUUCAAAAUACCUUGUUUUUAUCAGGUCUGAGAUUGUGAUUUUCUUGCAGGCAAGGAAACCAAUGAAAAUAUUUAAUUUUUUAUUUUUUUUAGUACAUUUAUAACAAAAUGUCAGAAGGUGUGUGCUUACCAUAUAAAAACAUCAGGUUCCAGAAGGAUACAAUACCGAAAAAUUAUUGAAAUAAAAAAAGGUUAUUCUUAUUAGAGGAUUUCUAAACCUUAGCAAGAAUACAAGUCUUUAAAAGCAUCAAGAUCAUAUUUAAAACAAGAUGGCAUGGAAAAAUGAGACCGUCAGUAACAAUUUGACCCUCAUUGUAACGGAUGAUAAAAUUGGGAGUUUUUCAAAGUGCUUGAAUUGUAUUUCUGCUCUCAUCCUGCGGCGCCGGGAGGAGGUACACGUGCUUCAUUUCCGAGCUGAUGAUAUGUGCUGACACUGAUGUGCCGCUGUGUGAUCCCAGGGUAGCUCAGAGACCAAACUGGGGACAGCCAGAUCGGCUUAAUCUGGACCACCAAACAAAGAGCAUUUUAGAAAAUCUCAUUAUUGGAAUUUUAAGUUCCUUAAAUCUUACUGUCUUGCCCAACAAGCAGGACUGAGUGUCUGGCCAGACCAGCCAAGAGUGCUUCUGGGAGAAAAUGUCAUAAUACUGUCACUAGACAGGUAAACGCCAUGUACCAGACAGCUUUCUCAAGGGUUUCUCUACAGCAGGCUGCAGGCUUCUCUUAGAGCCAGUCUGUGAUACGGUUUCUGUUUGGUUGCUUUAGACAGCUUCUAUUAACCAUCCCGUUUGUGAUGGAAUAAAACUAGCUGGCCACCACUUGAGUUGGUCACAGUAAACACUUCUUCACUUACUAUGAGGUGCAUGACUACCCUGGUUCUCAGCGGCUGAGCUGUGGUGCAAAGCAGGUGGAUGACAGACAGCGCACACGUUAACUGGAUCUGUAUGCGCCUGAGAGGCUGUUUUAUAGGUUGUGGUUUUGAAGUGAUCUAAAGGUACCAACUUGGUAAGGAUCUGAUGUCCUUGAAACUUCUGGAAGUUCUUAGUUUUCUGCUGCCCUCAUUUUGUGUCUUUUGUUCACAUAUUCUAGAAGUGCUGUCGUAAAAUGUAAAUUGAAUGUGAGAAACAGAAGAUGUUAUCUAGCUUUUACAAAAACAGAUGACACCUCAUCUACAGUAUCCCUGUUGAGUGGCAGUUAUUAAACCAAGAAUAGCGUUAUCGCCCACUUCUUGAAGAUACCUGAAAUUCCUGUACAAAGUGGGGCAAGCAUAGCCGAGUGAGCUGAACUCAGAUCUCUUAAAGAUAACAUCCUGCUAACCAGCUGGGUCAUGCUAUCCUUAAGCCAAGUGGGAUUGACUGCCAUCUGAAAAGCCGUCCAGGGUUUGAUUUCCUGGGCAUGCUCUCCCACCUGCUGCGUUUGGGGUUUUUUGUGUGUGUUUGUUUGAUUGUUUGUUUACGCAAACAUUCUGUUACAUAGUAUCUGGCUAAGGCUUGUAAUGAUUAAUACCCUGCCAGCACAGGCUUGCCUGGACAACUCUGUGAGACAGUAUAUGGAACUGUAGUAGCAGUGGUGUAGCCAGAGCUGAUUUUUCUCUUCUGGAAAGGAAAGCCUGCGCAUUACAGUUUACUGGUGCAUAUGCUCUCCGACUCCUGCAAGCGUACCAUGGCAUCAGAAGGCACAGGAUCAGUGCAAAGCCCACAAGGAACAUGUGUACAGCGGUGCCACAAUGCUGUACUUCCCAGCAUCAUUCUCCUGCAAAGUCAGAUCCUUAAGACAGUAAAUUAGUAAGAACUACCUAGACUGUUUAAAUGUACGUGUAUCGUUUAAAGAGAACAUUGUACAACCGUCCAUUUCCUGAUCACUGAGAAACUAAGAACAUCAAAAUCUAAAAGAGUUUACUUUGGAUUUGAAAAUAUAUUUCUCAACAUCUCUCAAAAAGUUGACGAGAGUGCCCAGUUUUAGUCAGCACAAAGCCACAGAACUAGUUUAAAAGUAAUUUAGACCAUGUUAGUUGUACUGUAGAUGUAACAUUGUUUGGCAGUAGUUUUAUGAUUAUACCCCACACAGUGUCAAACUCAGCUCCUGCAACUGAUACUUAGUGAAGUUGAUAUCAAAUUGUGAUUUACAUUGUUAGGAAAGCUAUUAAAAAUACUGUACCUUGUAUUUAAUCUUACCACUGAGAAAUAGCUGCUGGGCAGCACACAAAUUGCUACUGAUAAUGUGUUUUUUAAAAACGUUAAUAAAAUACAAGCAAGGUAGAAAAAAGGAUUAAAAGCAUUGUUUCAGGUACAAGUUUCUUCUGAAUUGGGGGGAGAGAUAAGAAACCAGAAAAACACGUUGCACAUAUGUGCACUCUCUGUAUAAAGAGAAUCAUACAAAGGGGGAAACUGGUGAUGCAGUGGGGUAGUACACUGAAGUCUCUGAUGCUGUAAACUUGAAUUCUUAAUUUCAGCAAAAAGGGGAAUUGAGCCUGGUUCCAUUUUGAGUCCCCCUGGGUCACGCGUGCAGACUACCCCCGGUUUGGCACGGAACGCGUUUAAGAGGCAGUCUCUGCUGAAGGGAUGCCAGGGCUGGAGGGUGAGGCAUCAAACGUGUCAGACCAGGUGCCUCACUGCCUGCUUGCAAUGGGCCAAUACUGUUAGCCAGUACUUUUGUAACUAUUAAGAGUUUCUCUACAUGCAAAAUCAGGCUGAUGUCAGUAAAAGUUCUGUUGUUUACUGCAGCUCAUUAAGCCAGUACCAGAGGCUGUGCGGACUGGGAUCUCUAAUUUAAAUCUAUUCUGAUUUAGCUGAAGCUGAUUCCUAGCAGGUGUAAACUAAACCAAAACAAAAGUAUCUUCAGGAAUUUGUGACCAGCAUAACUAAAACAGUUUACUUAAUGCAGUAAAUACAAGUAUUAAAUUAACUCUUUAUAACACAAUUUGUAAUGUAAGAGGAAAUAACACUAAAAUCAAUAAGGAAGUAGGCAGAAGAAACUAAGUACUGGUUAAAACUGAAGGGGUCUCAUUGUUCUCCCAGCAAAACCAAACCCUUCUGAAUUCAAAUCCCUAAAAAAAUGCCAAGUCUAGUUAUGGACCUGGUUCUCAGCUUUUCGUUCUUUGUUAAGGUUACGGGGCUGGGUCAGUCAGGUCCUGGGGAUAAGAUGGCAGAGGGGAGCCCCAUAUUUAAAGAGCUGCAGUGGAAAGAACACAUGAAUUAGAUGCAAGACCCCUACUAAAGUCUGUGAGUGAACGGAGAAUUGUGUCUCAGAUCCAAACCAACCCUCUGCUCCUAGGAAGUCGUUACCUAGGGCUGAGUCACACCUCUGUUCUCCAGUACCUAGCCACACUACACUUAGUGUACUGAUUCCUUUGGAAAAUUGUUAUUCUGCCUUCUCAGUCAUACACUGUUCUACACUUUUUCUCCCAAAAUGUCACUUACGUUUAUUUUAACUCUAUAUCUAGCAUGCAUUUUACAAGCUAUUUCCCACUUACUCUUUCUAGUUAAGGCAGAAUGUUGGCCCUGGUGUUACCAAUUGUACUACAGGAAUCUAUUCACUCUACUGUAACACACACAUCAUCCUAUACCAUAAUUCAGAACUGUCCCACAUGUGAGAAAGAAAGAAAGAAAAUACAUUACAGGAGAACUAUAUUUCUUCAUAAGGGAAUAAGUUGUGCUUAGAAAGCUAAAGGCCCAGUCUGGAGUCAUUGCUCAGACAAAACACUUCAUAAUGUCAGUGGGAACACAGUUGGUAGAAGGGUAGAACUUCAAGGUGUUCUUGAAGUCUUAAUUCCAAAUCUUUUAAGUAUCCUUAAACAGGGCAGGAAGAUACCGGUCUGCAAAUUGAAUGGAGUGUGUGUGUGUUUGUUUGGAGACCUAUCUGUAAUGACAGAAGGGUUUGCCAAUCCCAGAACGCCUUGCUUUGGCUGGUAUCUGAUUUGUAAAUUCCGUCCAUUCUGCUAUUCCCCACGUAUCUCACUGACUAUUGUAUCUCAGAGUGGCAUGCAGUGCUGGCGCAUGCUACUGAUGCAAGCACGCUACUACAACUUCAACAGGCUAAAAAAAGAAACAGCUUUAGCUUCUUCGUUAUACAAAGAAAUUAUGCAAAAAACCAUUGAGCAGCACUAACUCACAGACUAAUUACAAACUAAAUUGUGCUAUAUAUUAGUAUAAAAACAUGUUUUAGUAAGAAUGGCACUGGUUCAGAAGGAAUUAGGACUUCCAUCUUGGUUCCGUUCGGUCCACAGUGUAAGCAUUGUAGUACAGGCCUGCCCUGUUGCCUGAGCAACUUGUGACAGUGGCUUUUGGCCACAACCCCUUCCGUUUCUUCCCUUUUUAUAUCCUCCAUUGUUGGUACGUUCUGGGAGUAGCCCAGGUCAGGUCUGGUCAUCUUUCCUAACGUGGCACCAGAAUAGUUCAUUCUUAUCCUCUGAUAUUUUCUUAAUAUCGUUAACGUUUCCCUCUUUAAUCUCUCAAAGCUGGUCAGUUUUAAGGGUCAUCUUCUCCUGUAGACACCAUGAGACGCAUUGCUACUGGUAGGUGGUCUGUCAACCCUGCUAACUGGGUAAUAAAGCUGAACUCUUCUACUUCCUGCAGAGGGAAAAUGAAAGAAAUCAUUAAUUUGAAAACUGCUCUGUUACACCACACACCAGGACUCAGCCUCUUUAGUUUACUUCGAACUGCCUUACUGUAUUAGGAGAUGUAUGGGACCAGUUGAGCUUGGCUGGGCUAAUGGUAAAGUCUGCCACACAGAGCACGUCAAUGUGGUGCAGUUGAUGAGGUAAACCAUUUAUAAAAUACACAGGUGAAUUAGUCUGGAUGAAAUCUGUUGUACCUUUUCCUUCCAUUUACAGUACCAUCUGCAUUGUUCCAGACAGACCUUUCUGUAGUGCCGCAGUGCAUAAUGCACACGCGUCAGGAGGCACUCACCCGGGAGGAGGGGCUGGCUGUACCCUACCAGAUUUGCUAUGCAGCUGACAAGGAAGCCUGUCUUCAUUAGACUGAGCUGUGGAACCUAAAGCGACAGGGUCCCUGCUCCUUACAUCUCUGAAUUCUAGCCUUUAUGCUGGCAACGUUUUAUAGGACUGAAAGUUCUGCAGGAAAUAUGGCUUGCUUCCCAGCUUCUGAAAGCUGGGCAGAGCACCCUUAGUGCUUGCCAAUGUAGCUGUCCCCUCCUACCAGCCAGGUACUUACUUGGCCAGUACUUUGGGCGUGGCUUGCCAGAAGCACAGAUACUUUAGCUCUUCAGGAGCCUUUUGGCUAGCAUUAACUAGCAUGCCACAAGAAGAAACAGUCUAGUAUCUUCCUAGCCACUCAUUUAUCUUUAUUCUCCCAGCAUGAGCCUUAUAAAAGACUUAAUCUGAGUCAAAACUAUUCAAAUAUUGGUUUUGUUGCUGUUCAUGUGAAAUAUAAGAUGGGUUUACCAUGCAGAUGCGCCAUGGGCAUUCGUGUACCUGAAAGAGGAAGUCUGAAAACAAUUUAGCUGCUAAGCUGCUGUGACAACAGACCGAGGUAUGUGCUCAGUUAUGCUGAAGUGCUCAAUCACUUGCCACUCUGCAGCAGCUACAAUGGGGUGUAGUAAGUGUGAACUGGUUUCUCAUUUUCAGCAUGGAAUUCUGCAUAAGAUGAGCUCCUACACCAGGAAGCAGACAGUGCACUACAGGUUCUCAUUUUAGUUAGCCCAUGUCAGCUUCCGCCUGUGUAAACUUCUGCUUGUAACUUAGGUUGGUUUUCUUAGGUAUAACAAAAGCACAUGCAGACACUUUAAAAGGCUAAAAUCUAUUCAGACUGAUGGCAUGGAAAGCAUCAGCCAAAACACUUAGUCUGGCAAAAGUUUAAGGAAUGGAAACAAGGUUUUUUGUUUGUUUUUGAAAAGCAGCAUAUCUACCAGUAUCCCUAAACUAAUCUUCAAUUUGCUUAUAUAUUAGGUUUACAAACUUGGUACUUGCAUGCAAAAGUAGAAAAUAGUAAAGCAGUAAGUUCUCCUUGAAGGAGGAGUUUGAACCCAAGCGUAACAGGCUGCAGUGCUGUCCUGGCUAGUUUGUUUGCAAGUUCUGGUUCUCUGUGUCAACUCUGGAACUCACCACUUUCCAUUCCAGGUAAAGACCUUCUUCUGUAUAGAGCAUAUAGUCGAUCCUCCUCCCGUUUCCUUUCAGUGAUGCCUUCCUCCCCUUUUGACUGGAACUGUGGUUCUUGCUGGUGGGAUAGACUAAGUAUCCUUUCCUUCCUUCUUCACUUUCCAGCACCCUAUUAAAAAACCAAAAUAAGUGCUUUAAAAGUUUGCUCAUUCAGCCCCCUUGUGCAUGACUCUAGAUGCUCUCCUAAUCACUUGUCCAAAAGGACUGUUAAACUUGUAAAGCACAAUCUUCUGCCAAACAUGUUUUCCAGUAUGAGGCUGUACUAACUCCUGACAAUGCUCUUAAACCCUCCUGGGGGGUUUGGCGUCACUGGUGCCAUACAGAGGGCCUGUCACUAUUACGGCCUUGAGCAACUUGAUCUAACUUUGAAGUUAGCCCUGCUUUGAACGUGAUUUUGGACUAGAUAACCCACAAAGGUCUCUGCCACUCUAUUUCUACAGUAACUCCACGUUGCUGUCUGUUUUGUGGUUUUUUUUCAGUUGUAUUGGAUUUAAAAGGAAACUUGGUUUACCUUCUUGUAUUUGAUUUAAAAGAUCUACCAAAGUAGCGCUAAAGGCAACAGACACAACUGUGCAUUCAAAAGCAGGUGCUGCAUGUGGUGACUGCAUGUGUAGAUAUCAAGUAGAAUCACAGCUGGUUUGCUCCAUAACUGUGCAUGCAGAGGGGCUCCGGUUAGGUCGCGGUUUUGCUAUCUGGCUCAAAACACAGAAGCAAAGUACUUUCAAAACCACCUCCUUGAAAAUCACUUUCCUUGACUUACCUGCCAAAACCUGAGCUCAAGGUUCUGUGGUUCCCUGGUAAGAGUUGAUUACGCCAUUAAGCUACAUCAUCAACUGUCGCAGGAGAAACACUGAGCCAUGAACUUGGGUCCUAGCAGGUACAAAGCCUUUAAUUUCACCUUGGAAAAAAAUAAGAUAUUUUUGAUCACCCUGUUUUUAAGAUUUGACUUUGGAUGGGUUUUAUGGGGUUGGGUUUAGGAGUUGGUUUUUAUGCAUGCACGUGAGAGUACAGAACGAAGGAAAAACAAAAGACAAACACCAGACUCUCUUGAUGUGCUUUAAUGUCUGAGAUUCAAAUGCUUUGUCAAUUUCUGUGUCUUUGGAAGGGUCUGAAUGGUGGCAGAGGGGACACAGCACUUGCUGCCGUUGAUGAGGUCUCAGUAGUCUUGUAAUCUGUAAGUUUGGGUUAGUUGAUACAUACAAGAAGUACUCUAUGUGCCUUCAAAAGACAACAAUGACAAAAUUACGGUCAUUCAGAACUCUUCUUAACCCCCUUUGAAUUUAGUGAGGUAUUGAAGGUUCUUGGAGUUUACUGUAACCAGUUUAUAAAAGUAAGCUUCCUUUUAAAUAUUAUUCAGUUUUAGACUGACGUCUAAUACCUCACAUUAAAUUAGCUUACUGCCUGUACCCCAUUUGCGAGCUGAUUCCACAAAGAGCUAAUGCAAAUUAUUCACUUCCUGAAAUUCUUUCUCUCGCUUCAAGAAAGGAAGCUCUUUGAUGGAACUGACCUCUUUCAAAAGUGGUAUUUAUAUUUGGCAAAGCUAAUUAAGUAACAAAGUAGAAGAAACUGCUGAUGAGCGCUGCAGUGCUCCUGAAAAAAAAAUCUUUUUUGCAUUAAUGUAAAAGAUGGAUUUGUUUUAGCUUCAAUUAUGUCCUUUUCAAAGUCUGUGAAUGCUGGGUAUUCACUUAACCCGCACAACUUCUCCAGAGAAAUGUUCAUUUCCAGUUCAUGAGGAAAACAAACUGCAAAUGUGCCCUGUCUGCUUUAGACCAAACCUGGUGCCCUGGUACGCACGGGCGCGCUGCUCGUCCCUACGGCAGCGCACAGGCGCUGGCUGUGGCUGUGCCGUGCCCGCGGCGCAGCGCUAGCAGCUGACUGAACAGAUCUGGUGACGUGAGCUGCACAACUAACCCUCAGUUUUGUCAGAAUAAUUGUCUAGGUUCAUAGGAAAAAAGAAAGGAAGGAUAAAAAGUAAUCAGAACUUUAUUUUUUCCUUGAAAGAUUUUCAGUCCCAAAUAAGUCCAGAGUUUAAGUAUAAAAAUUCUGUCAAGCAGCAAUGUGGCCAACAGUUUCUUUGCAGCACUGACCCCAGCUGCAGCGACCAGAGGAGGAUGCAGAGCGGGGUGUGUAAGGGCAUCGUAAAGCUCGAGGGCCCAUCUCCCUCAUUCAGAUGGGAAGCACACGAGCUCAGGAACACUUUUCUUCCUGCUGUUGCAGCCUGUCACCGGAAUCGUGCUCCAUCGUCCAGCACUGGAAACUGGGAAAAUCUGCAUGUAAAUCUUGUUGCUUAGCUGUGCUGUAACGUGCUCUCCAGUGCCAGGCUCCGUCCAGGGAUUAGAGCAGCAACUACUCCUACAUUUAACAGUCCUAAAAUUACAUUUGGCCCUUUGAAGGCAACCGCGAGGCUGGUGUGGCCGCCGGUGACCAUGAGUCUGACACUGGUUGAGAGGCUGGUUCCAGUGCUUUGGUGGAAGGUCACAAUCUUUGCGAGAUGAGGUGAGAUGAGAUUAUCUGUGUGCAUUUCAGGAAGCCUUUCUGAGCAGAAGCUUGUGUGGCAGGGCCCAGAUUGUUACAUCUAGCUUAUUAAUUGUUCUAUAAUUAUAAAUGACUGGCUCAUUAUUUGUACCAAGUAUGUUCUUCUAGACCGAUGUUUUACAUAUGCUGUACUUAACAUGAAAGAGAUAUUUAAAAACUAGUUGUUCUGCUGCUUUGAUGGCCUAAUUAGUUUAGUAAUGUGAGCUACUUAAUUUGAUUUAUAAACUGGAGAAGAGUGCUGAUGAAGGAAUGCUGCUCUGGAUAGCUUACAUUGCCAAUUUAAACGUGUGUUUUCAAUGUCUGUAAAGCUUGAUCAAGGUCUGUUGAAAAAUUUGGGACUGGAUCCAUUUCAGGCUGUCCCCUGUUUGGCUGUGUAGAUGAAUGAUACGUGUUGGCUAGACAGCGUUCUGUGCUAUUGGACAUUUAAAUGUCUUUAAAGCCCGCAUUCGAUUAAUGGCUUGAAAUUUUACUGAACUUCUCAGCGAUUUUUGGGUUUCCCCGUCCCUUCGGAGACGGGAGGACAGGCUCCCCGGCCUCUUGUGGAGUGAUGGCUUCUCUCAUAUAUAAGCACCUCCACAUAACAUACACAUGUAGAUCCCCAUUUCCCCACAAAUCUCCAUAAAGCACCAGUGGAAACUCCUGUCUAAUAGAGGGGGGUUUUCAUCAGUUUAAGAGAAUGAUAAUGGAUUGCAGAAAACUGAAAGCCACAUUUAGUAGGCAAAAAGUAUUAUGUAUAUUCUGUUACCAACACUCAAGAGUAUUUCCCAGUUCUACCGAGGUGCUGUACAUACACAUAGGUAGCGGAAGUAACACUCUUAAAUCUUUACUGAUCAUUUGAUGGCUCUGUAUCUGUGGGUCAUGUAUUUGUCCGUUGAACCUGACUGCUGAAUGGAAGGAACUCUUCAGAGAAUAAACCAAAACACCCCAAAGAAAUUUGGUGACAGAUUGUCUCAAAAAGUGCCUUGAAAACACAGCUGGUUAUUUUUGGUUUUGGAGUAUUAAUUCUAUUUUUUUUAAUCAGCUCCAAGGCUGCUCUUGGAACCAUGAAAUAGAAUGUUCCACCCACAUACAGAUCUGCAUUUGCAAACCUGACUGUAGGGCCAAAUCACCUUCCUUUUGCUUUCCAGAAAUGCCUUUCACAUUCACCAGAUUCAUGUUCAACACGUGAACAGGAACGCCUGGACCCGUUGCAGGCUGCUGAACGUGCACAGCGUGACUUGUGGUAACAAAUCCUUAUUUUGGAUAAAAACUAAAUCCAGACCUUAUGGCUAGAAUUCUGUUUCUUUUUUCAAAGCUGAUACAAAGAAGACUUCAAGGGGCAGCUUCACCUCACACAUUCAGCUCAGUCUCCCAUCUAUACCAUGCAGUGUACCGUACUUUGUAAAAAUGCCAAUGUGAGCCAUGCCUAUAUAAUGUACCCCCUUUCCAUUAUGUGUGCUGUCUGAAGCAUCUGCACAGACUCAUUAGUUCAAAUAACUUUAACUCGUUAGUAUAUUUUCAUAAUAAACAUCUUUUAUAGUUACUCAUGAUAAUAACAUAUUUAGUCCAUUAAAAUAGCCUUCAAGUCAGAGAAGCUGUAAAAAGGAUUAUCACAUUCAUUAAAUGCUUUAAAACGUACAAAGCUUAUAAAUUUCUUGAAUACCUGUACUGUUAAAUAACAUGCCAGAGGAGAGAAAUUAAUCCUAAGACUUCUGCAAGUUAAGGUGUGGGGGUUUUAUUUCUCAUAAAUCCACUAGCUUAAACCAAAGAUACCCGUUUCAAUAGCAAACACUCCUUAGAAGUAACACCGCGCUAGGAUCACGGAUAGAUAUUAAGCCAUAUUCCUGGUUACGUCUGACGCUCUGUUUGAUUCCUCUCUAUACUUGUGAGCUUGCUUUUUAAGGUGUAUCACAUUCUGCAAGCAUAGGUUUUUAACUGUUGGGUUGGGAGUGGUGUUUUAAAGUUUCUGGGUGUUUUCUUUGAGGGGAACUCCAGUUGCUGUCACUGCUGUCCUUGAGGGCUGCGAGCACAGCACUGCCUGCCUGCAGAGAGGCGUCAGCCAAGCUGCCUGCCCUUCUCAGCAGCGCGUGGAGUUUCAUUCCCGUGGGCCUGCGCAGGCAGGACCAGCUCCAGAGACAAAAGAACACUGACUGCAGUUGCUCUCAUCUUUACACCCAUUUAAGCCAAUUCUUUUAGACUUCGAGAAGCAGCCACUUUUCCUUCCCUUUGAUUCCUUUUCCCCAAAUACUCCUGAGUGAAAAAAAAAGCAUGGUUGGUUGGGGUUUUGUUUGCUUUGGUUUUGUUUCUUUUUCUUUAAUGUCCAUGAAACAGCCCUCAACUUGUGAAAUGUUAAAGAGCAAGCGAUGAAUUGGCUUUUGAAGGAAUUGUCUAAAGCAUGUGGGAGGAUUAGGAAUUGCAUACUUCUGUAGGUUAUCCGGAGUGCACACUUCUUCAUCAUACAGUCCUUCAGGAUCCAACAAGGUGCCUGUGAACAGAAGGGGAGAGGACCAAGCCGACACGGGUCUUUGUAGUGUGUAAACAGAGAAUGCUGUUGCUCCAGCUUGUCCUCUGCAGGGGAAGAGCAAGUCCAAGGAAAGGCACAUCAGCUACGUAUUGUGGACAACUGUGUGUUCUGCCACAACACAAAAGCUUCCCCCACCUCCCCUGCCCCAACCAGCUCUUCCUCUUGAGAACACCCUCGUAUAUCGCAGGGAGGUUGAAAACGGAAUUUGCCAGCGGCUCCUGGAGUUGUGGCAGGAGACUGAAGGACUGACCCUUCCUGAGAUGCGCCAGCGGUCGCACUGAGGGCGGCAAGUCACAGCUGAUGAGACAAGCUGACUGGAAGGCAUUUAUCUGAUGCUAAAAGGUUGAAAAACCAUAAGAGAUUUUUACACAAGUCAGUCCAAAGCAACCUGACAGUAAGUAACUUUCUAAUGGUGUUCCCACAAAGUGUGAAUUCACCGUUUGAAUGUUGUUGUAACGUUCUGUAGAGCUGGAGGCGAAAACUGAGCUGCAGAAAAUUUGUCAUAAGCAUAAGGUCGCUCAUGGACCUGGAGAUGUCUGAGAACUGUACUGUCAAUACAGCUCAGAAUAGAAGCUUGAUAUUUACUGAAACAUUAAUUACUUGCCAUAUCUAUCUGUGGAGUGGGGAAGAUUACAGAAAAUCAUGUAUAAAAUUACAGGAAACUGAUCAUUGUUAAAAAAAAUCAUCUUCAAUUCCCUGCAAUGCUAACAAGUGUCCCUAAAACAGUGAGUGAUGCAGAAAUGGAGGAGAAAACUUCAGAACAGCAUUAGUCUUGCUUAGUGCAGAAGGAAAGAAAACAAUCCAAAAAUAAACAAUUAAAUAGCCAGCUUAAUUUCAGUUCCAGGCUGAAUGAACUUUGAAGGGGAGGAAGAUGUAAAUAAUCUGCAGAGAGAGCAAAAAUAAAAUGGAUUUUUACACCCUG